rnacentral:rRNA from 1 species
GACGAACGCUGGCGGCGUGCUUAACACAUGCAAGUCGAACGGAAAGGCCCCUUUGGGGGUCCUCGAGUGGCGAACGGGUGAGUAACACGUGAGUAACCUGCCCUUGACUUCGGGAUAACUUCAGGAAACUGGGGCUAAUACCGGAUAGGAAUCCUUGCUUCAUGGUGGGGGUUGGAAAGCUUCGGCGGUUUUGGAUGGACUCGCGGCUUAUCAGCUUGUUGGUGGGGUAGUGGCUUACCAAGGCUUUGACGGGUAGCCGGACUGAGAGGGCGACCGGCCACAUUGGGACUGAGAUACGGCCCAGACUCCGACGGGAGGCAGCAGUGGGGAAUAUUGCACAAUGGGCGGAAGCCUGAUGCAGAAACGCCGCGUGCGGGAUGACGGCCUUCGGGUUGUAAACCGCUUUCAGCAGGGGCGAAGCUUGUGGUGACGGUACCUGCAGAAGAAGCACCGGCUAACUACGUG